rnacentral:rRNA from 1 species
AGCCUCAGGGAAUCAUCUGAGGUUAGACCUGCCCAAUGUGUGAAAUCAAUGGCCGCGGUACUUUGACCGUGCUAAGGUAGCGCAAUCAAUUGGCUUUUAAUUGGAGCCAGGUAUGAAUGGAGUCACGGGGUUUAGCUGUCUCUUUUUUAUUUUAUUGAAGUUACUUUGUAGGUGAAAAAGCCUACGUUUAACAGGGGGACGAGAAGACCCUUAGAGUUUUACUUAUAUUAUUUUCUUAUAAUAGUUUAGUUGGGGCAACUUAGGAUCAGUGAUUACAACAUCCUUUAAUGAAUUUACCGAUUUUUAUAAACUUGAAUAAACUACCUUAGGGAUAACAGCAUAAUUUUAUAAGUAAGUUUGUGACCUCGAUGUUGGACUAGGGAACUAUAAGGCUAGCCGCUUUUUAGGUGGGUUCUGUUCGAACUAUUAUUCCU